GUUGAAGAUCCUUAUCUUCCAUGUAACUAGUAGGCGUUCCUAUCCCAAGUUAUUGUGACGACACUCACGACCAUCCUAUUCGUGGCUAGAGUUGAUUAGAUAUCAAGAGUUGGGGUAGAGGUUGAAGAUCAUAUUCGUCCACGUGGCUAGUUAAGCUUUUCUAUCCGGCAGUGUUUGUGGUGAGUCCUUAUUUAUUGGGGACUAGUCAUCGAGUUGGUUAUUAUUUCAAAGAAUUUUUUUUAUGUUUCAUAUUGAGGGUUAGCUAGGGACAUGUCUUAGCCCCUGCCCAUACUCAUGUAUAGAGGCAUCUAGUUGGACAAAUGCUUCGAGUCUAUGUUGUCAUGUGACAUUCUUCAUUUACUAUUCAUGGUUUAAACUCUCUUA